UCUGGAUAAACUUGUAUCCAUCCAAGAGAAUGGGGCAAGUCACUUUACGGAAGUUAAAAUAAGUAGCACAUUUCAGGAUUGACAAAGGCUUACAUAUAAGAGAAAUCUUGGAAUGACUGGAUAACCGUAUGUCCUUUAACAUAUUUUAUGUUAUAAAAAUAAUCUCGAAUAGCUUUAACUAGCUUUUCAAGUUACGAUUUG
rnacentral:sRNA from 12 species